CAAAGGACUUAACUUUGUUCUUUCACUCUGGAACCUGCUUCUUGACAAUAAGCUUCAAUUCAUGUUGUCUAUUUUUGGAAACUCUACUGAUUCUCAUCUUGUCAUCAACGUUUGUCUUUGGAUACUGGCUGCAGUUGCUACUGCUGUGGAUACUACUACUACUACUACUGCUACUACGUUCGUCACCAAUGACACUAUCAGCAGCAGCAGCACUACUACUACUACUACUACUACUACUACUGUGUUGUUCUUGUUUCUGUUGUGGCCACCAUGAGGGCCUCUUGGUAUGCAGAAACAAACUGGACACUGGAGAAAACUCUCAACAUGGCAAGAUUUACUGCAUUGCACUACCACCACCACCACCACCAUCACCCAUACUGCAUCUUGGAGUUUUAAACCUUGUUGUAAGACAUGGUGCUGGUGCAGAUUGGAUUGUACCUCAUUGUAUUUAGCAGUCUACUUACAUGCCAUUGACCAACUCAAAUCAGGGCUGAUCAGGAUUAUUCUGCAAAAGCCACUACUACUACUACUACUACUACUAUGAAGAAAGACAUGAAGAUGACCAAAAAGAAGAAAAGGAAAAUGAAGACGAAACAGGUGUCACACUCACAAAAGGAGUACAUUUGAUUUACAGUGUUGAUGGAAUAUAUCUGGAAAUGGUAGCUGAGUACUGCCACAGAAAUGUACAUGGAAAGGGAAGUCUUCAGAAACAGAAUAUUUGGUGCAGAGUCUUUCCUCACUAUGCAUGGCAUAGAUUUUCAAACACCGAAAUUACAGCACCAAGGGUGUCUUCUGCAAUAAAAAACCUCUGCUUUGUUCCCUUCUUGAAUUACUACCGUGCAAAAUAUUCAAUCUCAAGGAAACAAGUCUUCAAGUGAACUCCUAUAUACAUCUCCGCAGU